CAGGGCUACUGCAAUAGCCUCCUAACGGGUCUUUUUGUUGUAAGAUGAAGAAAGUGAGACAUAGAAAAGUUGGACAACUUGCUCACCCAGCUUAAAGUGGCAGAGCCAGUAUCAAACUGAAAUCAAGAUUUCUGACUCUGAGCCCAGCGCUUAGUUACUGUAGCACUGCAUACAGCACCCGCCCCCAUCUCCCGCCCUGUGGAAGGAGGCAGAAAGAAGACAUGCAGAAAAAACAUCCCAGGCCCUGGACAGUGUGCUCAGUGAACUGAAGUUCCAGAGAAAGCUGAGACCUGUCUGUCCUGUUUACAGUUUUAUUCCCAGCACUUGGUAUCAGUUCCUGGAUCCUAAUGGGCUGGUAAAGGAAAGAAUGAGGAGGGAGUUGUGCAGUGAGCAGUUUUCACCGUGAGGGCUUA